rnacentral:rRNA from 1 species
GACGUAGGGCGCGAGCGUUGUCCGGAUUUAUUGGGCGUAAAGAGCUCGUAGGCGGCUUGUCGCGUCGGCUGUGAAAACCCGCGGCUCAACUGUGGGCGGGCAGCUGAUACGGGCAGGCUGGAGUUCGGUAGGGGAGACUGGAAUUCCUGGUGUAGCGGCGAAAUGCGCAGAUAUCAGGAGGAACACCGGUGGCGAAGGCGGGUCUCUGGGCCGAUACUGACGCUGAGGAGCGAAAGCGUGGGGAGCGAACAGG